CAGCAGUGAGGGAGAGAGAGAAGGCCCCCCAGGGAAGCUCAGAGAAGAGGGAAGGUCGCCCAGAGUUGCAACAUAGUGCAACAAGAGUUGUGAUGAUGAAAGUGAAGACACCCAUCCUUCUUUGGGAGGGUCAAGGAAGGCCUCCCGGAAGGACCCCUCCUUCACACAGCAGAGCUUCUGGACAGUAGAGCUGAGGAAAGCAUGUCUACCUGCAUCUACAUAUCUGGUUACAGGAUCUACCCAGAGAUAGAACCUGAUGGACAAAGAGAAAAAAAACUCCUGCUGGAAAUCACAGUAUGAGAAGUUACUACGUCAGACCUCAAAGAAAGAAUGCAGUCAAACCUCCGUGAGAAGGACCUUACUAGGUACUGUUAACAACUAACACAACAGGGAACCCAUGCCUCCCAAGUCAAAAGGCAUAAGCCACAU